GGGCCCAUAGCUCAAUUGGCAGAGCCGCCGGCUCAUAACCGGUAAGGUCCUGGUUCGAGCCCGGGUGGGCCCACCA
rnacentral:tRNA from 1 species